AUUGAACGCUGGCUGCAGGCCUAACACAUGCAAGUCGACCGAGUGGCGGACGGGUGAGUAAUGUCUGGGAAACUGCCUGAUGGAGGGUGAUAACUACUGGAAACGGUAGCUAAUACCGCAUACCAUCGGAUGUGCCCAGAAGGGAUUAGCUAGUAGGUGGGGUAAAGGCUCACCUAGGCGACGAUCCCUAGCUGGUCUGUGAGGAUGACCAGCCACACUGGAACUGAGACACGGUCCAGACGCCUACGGGAGGCAGCAGUGGGGAAUAUUGCACAAUGGGCGCAAGCCUGAUGCAUCCAUCCCGCGUGUAUGAUGAAGGCCUUCGGGUUGUAAAGUACUUUUGGCAGAGAAGCGGUAUCUGCAGAAUAAGCACCGGCUAACUACGUGCCAGCCGCCGCGGUAAUAC
rnacentral:rRNA from 1 species